UUUUCUUUCUUUUUUUUUUUUUUUUUUCCCCUCUAACUUGCCAUGUUUAACUCGUCUAUAAUAUGAAGAUAAUACUAUCUACCUUGCCAUGUUUAACUCGUCUGUAAUAUGAAGAUAAUACUAUCUACCUUGCCUUGUUAUGUUAAGAAUUAAAAAAGAGUGUACAUGUUAAGUACCUAGAAUCUAGUGGACAGUCAAAUGGUAGUUCUAAACAACUCCAGCUAGCAUCUUUGAUAAAUGUCUUGUUUCAGCCUUCUUGAGUGCAGGAGCCUAGACCCUGUACUUAGAAAACCAAGAGCCAUGUAAGAAAAUGAUGAAAACAAAGUUCAGAAUUUCCCAGGUCUGUAGUAAUACUUUUUUUUUUUUUUUUUGUCUUUUUGCCAUUUCGUGGGCCACUUUCGCAGUAUAUGGAGGUUCCCAGGCUAGGGGUCAAAUCAGAGCCAUAGCCGCAGGCCUACGCCAGAGCCACAGCAACUCGGGAUCCGAGCCGCAUCUGCAACCUACACCACAGCUCACGGCAAUGCCAGAUCCUUAACCCACUGAGCGAGGCCAGGGAUCGAACCCGCAACCUCAUGGUUCCUAGUCGGAUUCGUUAACCACUGAGCCACGAUGGGAACUCCUGUAGUAAUACUUUUAAAGGGAAGUUUUGAGGUGGGAAAUAGAUAUCUGGAAUCUGCUUUAAGGUUUUUGUGUGCUCAUUGUGAUGGACUGUGUAAAAUGCAUGUCCAGAAAAAUGCGGGUGGAUGCGUCAACAAGGGCUGAUGUUAACAGGAGCCCAGGCAGUAGGGAGAGUCCCAAACAACUCCCUCUGGGGAAGACUGAGUCUCCCUGGGGCUCGGGCUUUUAAUCAACAAGAAAAGCCACCAUGGGGUUCCUGGUCCAUUAGUAAUAUUUCUGUUGGCAGCAGAGUGAUACUGUAUCUGCUUUGGCUAAAAAAUAUGAAUCUUCUACUCUCUUACUAACAGAUGAUGGUGAAGGGGUACAUGGUAACUGUUAAGGACUGCGUGUUUGUGUCCCCCCAAAAUUCAUGUGUUGAAACCCUGAUCUUCAAUGUGAUGGUGUUUGGAGAUGGAGCCUUUGAGAAGUAAUUAGAUUAUGAAGGUGGGGGUCUUUAUGGUGAGAUUAGUACCCUUAUAAGACGAGAUGGGGGAAAGCUUGCUUCCCCUCUGUCUGUGUGUCUCUUUUCUGUCUGUUUCUCUCUCUGUCUCUCUCUGUGUUUCUGUCUCUAUCUCUGUCAUUGUCUCUCUGUCUCUCUCCUUGUCCUGGCCUCUCUCUCUUCUCUUUCUCUUAGCAAUGUGAGGAUCCAUCGAGAAGAUGGCUAUGUAUAUACACCGGAGAGCGGAUCUGCAGCACCUUAUUUUGAGCUUUCCAGCUUCCAGAAUUGUGAGAAAUAAAUAUUUAUUUAAACUACCCAGCCUAGUCUGUUAUUUUUGCUCUAGCAGCCUGAAGUAAGACAGUAACUAAAGGGAAUAAAGAACUGUGUUAUUCCAACUAUAGACUUUAUUGCAAAUCUGAAAUGGAAAUAAAGUCAAGGGUCUAGUAUUUAUUUACAAUAAAAUCAAUGGGUUAAGCGUGCUUUUCGAUUCUUAUGUUUUACCGUGUUUUGAAAUAAUAAACAUUUAUGGUGUUCUUAAAGCAUGCAUUGUUCUCAUUAUUUUAUGUGGAUUAUCUUACUUACUCCUCACCACGAUGCUGAGAAAGAUCUUAUUGUUAUUUUCAGUAGCAUCAAGAGGUUAGAAUGAAAGAUUCCCCAAGGGCACUUGGUGAUGUGUCAUUGAUGUCUGUGUCUUGAGAUGGCACAGUGGUAAAAGAGCUGUCUGCCCAGGCAGACAUGAAUUGUGUGCCUGGAGACUGUCCGUACAAGGUGGGUGACUAUGUGUACAGCCUCCGUCAGUUCCCAUCACAUUAGGAUGUCCACAGUUCUUUAUCUCAUCUUUAAGGCCUUAUCUAUCCCAACUUCUUCAUUAGUAAUUCUCUGCGCGUCCUUCUCUUUCCUUACCUGCUGUGUGUUUCCCCAUAGCAGCUAUUGCUACUUGACAUUGUUGCGCGUAGAAAGGAAGAUCAGUCCCAGGUGAGGAUUCCCGCCACCUGGAGGGCAGUAAAGAGCACAGCGGUGCCAACCCCCCAAAAUAGAAGCCCACAGACCUCAAGCCCCUGCAGCACCUGUGGGCUCCGAGUUUCCAAGGAGGACUCAACACAUGAUGUGCUGGCUGGAACAGUGCUUUGCCCAGAAGGGAGAAGUAAUGCAGCAAGAUCAGCGUCUAUGGUGUGUGCUUGUCUGUCCUGGCCAGCGAGUCGAGUCUCUCCUGAGAGCUGACCUAGGGGAUGGACUGCACACACCCCUCUGCAUGAAGACUCCCUUCUCUCCCCGUGGAGAAGGCAGGGGGCAAAGAUACUGGGGGCGCUGGCCAGGUGCCAUAAAACACACAUGCUUAGGCAACACAAGGAAGUUUACUGCCUCCCAGCAAAGGGACAGUUUCUCCUAAUAAGGAAGAACUUGGAGCCAAGAGACAGCUUGCACCUGGCCUCCAUAUAUGGAAAUAUUCCAGGCCCAGAGCACCCUUAGGUGAUGCUGGGGAGAGCAUACAGGUCAUGUGGUGGCUGCUGCCCCAACAGUCCACCCCCAACUCUCAGUGGGGUACCAGGAAAAACAAACAAAAUAUGUCACAGGUUCCAGGACCACUGGCUAUCUUGAACAUGGAGGCAGAGGGGUGUUCUGUGCCUCACAGAACCUCCCUGCUCAAGUGAGACAGUAUGUGCUCAGGGCCACCAAUGUGAACUUCCAAGGAGAAUGACCAGACUUUCUUGGAGUAUGGCCCUCAGUCAGGAGCCCUAGGUUCCAGGGUUUAGCCAACAAAGAAGGUCAAAGAAUGAGAGUAAAGUGGACUUACAAAUGAUCCUGCUUGAAUAUGGUUUUUCUCCAGCUUGGUCUUGACUUUCCCCUAAUUGUUGAUGUACAUGGAGCAAGAGGUGUUGGCUCUAACAGCUUGUUCUGCCAUUAGGUAAUCCAGGGUGAUCAGGUUACCCGUCAUCAACUUGGCUAGUGAGUUCAGUGAAUCCCUUUGGUCCCGAAUGGCCUGGAUGGUGGAAUUAGCCAUUUCUGCCAUGGUCAAAGAGGGUGUAUGUCAUCUUUUCUAGGGCCUGUGUGCUAUCCUGGUAUUUAAUUUUGGAUAGUUAAGUGGAACCAAUUGUCAGUCUUCCCCUUGGGAAAAAUGUCACCUGCCACCCUUUGAUGGGCCAGCAGAGCGUGGGCCCUCUCCCUUGCUAUGCAGUUAUCCACAUGGACAGUGGGUCCUAGGACCCUGAGGCAGCAAGACUCUUCUCCAGAGUCAAGGCCAUUGCCCAUUGAGGUCCAAAAAGAAAUGUAUUUCACAUGAGAACAAGUGACCGCCACCAUGUUAUUGUAUCUUUGACUAACCCACUUACAUCUUGUGCCUGCCUCUUGUUGUGGGUUUAAGAGAAAAAUUUAUACCUCUGCCUCUGCCCAGAUUGCCUGUAUGAGUUGGCAACACCUGACCCCCUGUGGGGUCCUUUCUAAUCAUGUUAUAGAUGACAUUAAAGCAGAAGACGCUGGAAUGAUCCUGCACCUGAACUCUUAUCAGUGGAGUCACUCAUCAGGCAGAUCCAUUGAUGGCCUAAGGAAGUCCUGGUCAUAUGUAUUGGCCAGGCCACCAGGGUGGGGGUCUGAAGCAAGAGGCCUCUCAGCCUUGGGUGGCAGAUCCACCUUUGUUUUAGGUCACCUUGCUUGGCUAUAGCAGUGCUGAUUUUGAUGAGGUGUUAUCAGUCCAGGUAUCACCAUGGGUCUUAAAGAGGAAGAGAGAGGUCUGCCUUAUCUUCCAAGGCGGAAGAUGUUCUUGUUGUCACUUGAGGUGUGAAGGGUCUGAGGAUGGCCACCCAGCCUGUCCCUCCUAACCCAGGGGCCAGGACCUCCUCAGGAACCCAUUACUCUUGCUGUUAUACUUAAUCCUCUCAGCCCAACAUUCAGUCCAGGCAAUCAAGUUAUGUCCUGUACAAACUUUGCAUAUCCUGUAACAUCACCUGUACAGGGGAGUUGGGAGUUCCUGAUGCUACCAGGGGAAUCCUUGUAUUGUGGUAUUCUGUGGCCCUGUCCUUAUUUCCUAUGGGGUCCCAGGGUUGCCAAGCACCCUGGGGCAGCAUGCCUUCCAAGUUAGAGUAGGGGCUGGGUCCCUGUGUCAAGUGCUACUUUUAUGUGGGCCACAAACUGUUCCUGGGCAGAGCAUUGAAGAGGCAAAAAAGAAAAGGAGUGUUUGAGCAUGCUGAGAUUGGGAUUCCUCAAGUGUAAAUUAAUCAGGCUACUGCCUUGUCCUUCACCCCCUCCAAGCUAGUAUUCCUGAGCACGCAUUGCAGUGCUAGAGCAUCUCUGGCCUCAGGUGGUACAGGGAGGAGGGACACUUAUUACUUCAUCCCCCUGAGUAUCCAAAUGUCUCUAGUGAGAUGAGGAUACCACCCUGCUAAUAAUCUUUGAUGUCUUUUUUUUAAUCGUCUUGGUCUUCCACCAUCCACUGGCUCCCUUGGCUUGUGGGUGGCAUGGAAUGUGGAAGGUCCAGUGUAUGCCAUGGGAUUGUGCCCACUUUGGUGUGGCUUGUGCUGUAAAAGAAGUUCCCUGAUCUGAAUGGGGGCCAGAAGGGUACCUGAACACAUGGCAGAGAUUUUUUUCCAGUGUGACUAGGGAAUUAUUGGCAUGUGGGUACCAUAUGGGAAUGGCAUUUCCAUGUCUGGAGGAAGUGUCAAGCUUGUGAGGCAUCAGAGCAGCCCAUAUCUGAGUGUUAAAGGUCCAGUGGAAUCAGUCUGCUGAAUCUAAGCCUGCAGAUGCCCCAGCAGGUAGGUCCUCCUUCUCCUUGUACUGCUUGGGUUUGUUGGCAGCAAUUGCAAGGUAUGCAAAACCACAUCCUGGGCUUCUGCAUCUUUGAGGAUUAUUCCCCUGGAUUUGGUCCAUUCCUGAUUUAGGUACACUUCCAUGACUGGUUCUCUGAUGCAUUCAGCAGGCUACCAUUGUGGCUUGUUAGCUCAGACAUUUCAUUCCUGUUCUGGUUUGAAAAGCCCUUUGUCAUAAGCAUCCACAUGAGUGACUAAGACUUGUCAGUUGCAUGUAUCAAGGUAUUUUGUCCUUGUCUUCACUCAGGGGUUUCUGUAAUAAUUCUGUUAUUUAGUUGCCAGUCCUUUGACCAAAUGGCUAGACUGCUUGCCACAGCCCAGGAGUCAGUAAAAAUCUAGCGAGGCUUGUUGGGUGGAUUGACUUGCACAGCCAUUACCACCAUAUGCCGUCCGCUGGGUGGAGCAUCCUCCAGUUUCUGCUAAGAGGUGGCCAUGCAUGUGGCAGAUGGCUGUGACAGCCCAGUGGGCCCCACCAGCUUUCAGUUUUGCAGAACCAUUAUUAAAUCAGGCCAUGCCUCUCAGCUAGAACCUCUUCAAGGAAUGACCUCCCCCUCCCUGGGGACGGAGGCGGGGAAGGCAUCCCUUUUUGGAAUGCUCUGUUCCUGCUGGCAGUUUGGCUGCCUUCUUAUGGAGUCCAUUGAUCCCUUGGAGUCCUGGCCUGGCCCAGUUUUGAAUGUACCAUUUUCCAUUUGAUGAUGGAACUUGUCUGAUUUUAUUAUUGAGAUUGGUGGGAAGCCGGGUAACCUCAGGUCUCAGAGUCACGUAAGUUCUUUUGAUGUGCAAUGUUCCAUCACCGCCAGAGUCUGACAGCAGUGAGAAGCGGCCGUUCAAAGGGUGCAUGUUGGACAGUGGCUUCAGGCAGCUUGUGGGUCCAAAAUCCAAGAGACUGGCACCCCAAUAUGUUUUUCUGCUGCCACAGACUCCAACCAGCAUGUGUGGGCAUUGAGGGCACCUGCAGUUCCAUAGGGCUUCCAAGAUCCAAAGUCACAAGGCCAGUGCCCAAAUCUUAGCCAAUGGAACAGCUUCCAGGGCUUGUCGUUGGAAAAGCCCCAUUCUAAGUCCACUUCCAGAAGGAUACCCAGAUGGGGUACGUGCUGUCCCCAGAGAGGCCCACUUGCUGCUAGGCUUCUUCUUUAGUAGUGGGUGUAGCUACUGACAGUGACUUCUGUUCAACUUUCUCCAGAAUAUUCGUUGACACUUGUUUGUGUGCUUCUGACCAUGAGGUGUGUCCACUUAACGUCCGUUCUGAUGAGUGUUCCACCAGCUGGUCCAUGGCCGUGUAUUUAAACACCACCUUUCUUCACACUGUCCCUUUCAAGAACCCUGAGUUUUAAUAACCAGCUUUUAUUAAAAUGGUGAAAUGUUGCUAUGAUGAAAGUAAUAUUUUCUUCUUAAAAUAAAAUUUGGAAAAGGAGAAAACACUGACUCAUAAUCCCUCCACACAGAAGUAGAAUGGCUGAGGUCCUAGAAUGUUUCCUCCUAUUCUGUUUUGUGUAUUUGUUUGCUUCCUUGCACAGAGCUGUGUUUGUGGUUCAUGUUUUGCUUUUUGAACUUAAUAUAUACAUACAUAUAUCCCACGUUGUCAUAUGCCUUGUUUUGAAAAUGAACCAAAUAUUGAGUAUAUACUGACAUGACAGAGAUAAAUUGGGAGUGUCUAUGUAGGUUACCUUGUUUACAGCAGCAUCCAGUGAGGUGGACAUUAUCAUCCCUAGUUUUCAGUUGAGGAAAUGAAGGCUCAAAAGGUUUCCAUCACUUGUCCAGAUCACAGAGCUAAUAAAGGCCAGUGACAAAAUUGAUCCGGCCCGGGGCCGACUUCAAGUACCUGUGGGAGUUCCUGUUGUAGCACAAUGGAAAUGAAUCUGACCAGGAAUCAUGAGGUUGCAGGUUCAAUCCCUGGCCUCACUCAGUGGGUUAAGGAUCCGGCAUUGCUGUGAGCUAUGGUGUAGGUCUUCAGAUGCUGGUCAGAUCUGAUGUUUUUGUGGCUGUGGCACAGACUGUAACUCCGAUUUGACUCCUAGCCUGGGACCCUCCAUAUGCCGUG
rnacentral:lncRNA from 1 species